rnacentral:rRNA from 1 species
GGAGUCUGAGCCAGGACUUCAAUCCACUCUGGAGGCUCGCCUAACACAUGCCCCCCCCAGCAGAAAGUGGAACAGUCCAUGAGUACCCCGGCUUACGGGUGAGUAACACGUGGGUAAUCUACCUCUUUGUGUGGAAUAACCCUGGGAAGCCGGGGCUAAAACCCCAGAAGCUCCAAAGACGAGAGCACCAAUGCGCUAAUGGAGGACCCCCCACCCCAUUAUUUCCUUGGCAAGGUAAAACCCUACCAAGGCAAAGAUCGGUAGCCGGCCUGAGAGGGCACACGUGAACACUGGCACUGAAACACGGGCCAGACUCCUACGGGAGGCAGCAUUGGGGAAUCUUGUACAAUGGGGGAAACCCUGAUGCACCUUCCCCACGUGAGCGAUGAACCCCUCGGGGUGUAAAGCUCUUUCGGCCGGGAACAUUAUGACGGUACCUGCAAAAGCAGCUGCGGCUAAGUACGUGCCAGCAGCCGCGGUAAUACGUACGCCGCGAGCGUUGUUCGGAGUUACUGGGCGUAAAUGGUGUGUAGGCGGUCUUCUAAGUUUGGUGUGAAUUCUCCCGGCUCAACUGCGGAUCGUGCGCCGAACACUGAAAGACUAGAGUGCGGGACAUGAUAGUGGAAUUCCUGGUGUCACGCUGAAAUGCGUAGAUAUCAGGAGGAACACCGGUAGUGUAGACCGCUAUCUGGACYGYWACUGACKMUSAGACACKYAAGCGUSGGUAGCAAACMRGRUKAGAUMCCCUGGUAGUCCASKUCCUAAACGASKCAUAUYUGGUGUGGGCAGUUYAGUGAGUUUGUGCCGGAUCUAACGWRUUAAAUSUGCCCCGUCGGGAGUACAGUUGCAAGGCUGAGACUCAAGGGAUCACACGGGUCCCGCACAAGCGGUGGAGCAUGUGGUUCAAUUCGAAUUAACGCGAAGAACCUCACCUGGGCUCGAACGGCUGGUUAACGCCGGUAGAAACAUCGGUACUCUUCAAGGAGGUCCAGCAGAGAUGCGGCAUGGCGGUCGUCAGCUUGUGUUUUGAGACAAUAGGUUAAGUCAAGCAAAGAGCGCUACCCUUGUCCUGGGUAGCCAUCAUUCAGUUGGGCACUCGCAGGAGAAAACCAGCCAUAAGCUGGAGGAAGGUGGGGAUGACGUCAAGUCCUCAUGCCCUUUAUGUCCAGGUCUACACAGACCAUACAAUGAUCGGUACAAAGCGCCGCAAACCCUCGAGGGGGAGCCAAUCGCAAAAAACCGGUUUCAGUUGGGAUUGCAGGCUGCAACUCGCCUGCAUGAAGCUGGAAUCGCUAGUAAUGGCAGAUCAGCACGUUGCCGGGAAUUCGUUCCCGGGCGUUGUACACACCGCCCGUCACAUCACGAAAGUGGAUUGUACUAGAAGUUUGCACGCUGACCCGCAAGGGAGGCAGCGGCCCAAGGUAUGAUUCAUGAUUGGGGUGAAGUCCUAACAAGGUAACC